rnacentral:rRNA from 1 species
GAUCAUGGUUCAGGAUGAACGCUAGCUACAGGCUUAACACAUGCAAGUCGAGGGGCAGCAUGGUCUUAGCUUGCUAAGGCCGAUGGCGACCGGCGCACGGGUAAGUAACACGUAUCCAACCUGCCGUCUACUCUUGGACAGCCUUCUGAAAGGAAGAUUAAUACAAGAUGGCAUCAUGAGUCCACAUGUUCACAUGAUUAAAGGUACUCCGGUAGACGAUGGGGAUGCG